GGGUUGUGAGGUUAAGCGACUAAGCGUACACGGUGGAUGCCCUGGCAGUCAGAGGCGAUGAAGGACGUGCUAAUCUGCGAAAAGCGACGGCGAGGUGAUAUGAACCCCUGACCCGU
rnacentral:rRNA from 1 species